CGCCACGACCCGUGUUGUGUUAUCUUUCAAAGGUUGUCGAAUCAGAGGCCGGUUGGGAUUGAAUGUAAUUUGGUGGUGAGUCGCACGUCUCUCGGCGCUUUAGCACCAUGGCGGAAUGGAGCAGCCAGGCGCCCACAGGGAGGGCGGUUUCCGAUGAAAUUUCGGAAGAGCUGGAGAACAUAAGAGCGAUGCUCGAGUACCUCCAACAGCUCAUGCUCGAGCUCCAGCAACUGCUCUGUCAGUCCUUGCACCGACUGUAUAGAAGACGCUAAUGCUCGAGCUCCAGCAACUGCUCUGUCAGUCCUUGCACCGACUGUAUAGAAGACGCUAAUGCCCGAGCUCCAGCAACUGCUCUGUCAGUCAUUGCACCGACUGUAUAGAAAGCGCUAAACACUGCUGAACCAGACGGAAAAUACUUUUCUUUCGUUUGUUCCGAUGAAGCAAUAAAUCUUGCUUGCCUUAAUGAA